AAAAAACGAAGAAAAGAAAAAAGAAAAAGAAAUUAUAAAUAUAAAUAGAAAAUCUUACCUAACCUGAGGAAUCAUAAUUCAUAAACAAAACCCUAUCGAGAGAUUUCUCCUAGAAACUCUUCUCUCCUGCUUCGUGACCGUGAUCGUGAUCGUGAAGCCUUCUUCAUUCGUCUCCGAAACUCGCUUUCCUAAACUUCAAACCAUGGUUGGAGAUGGAGGUGCACACAAGCCUACUACAAAUGUCGCGUUUGAAUACCUUAAAGCCGUGAAGGCUAAAUUUCAGGAUCAACAUGAAAAAUAUGACGAAUUUCUUGAGAUCAUGAAUGAUUUUAAAUGUCGGAGAGUUGAUAGACUUGAUGUCAUAAUAAGGAUGAAAGAACUCUUGAAAGAGCACAAAGAGUUACUUUUGGGUUUCAAUACCUUCUUGCCAAAGGGUUUUAGGAUCACACUCCUACCCGAUGAUCAUGAACAACCUUCACAUAAGGAACCCGAUUUUAAGGAUGCUCUUACUUUUAUUACAAAGGUUCAGACGAGGUUUCAAGGCGGUCGUGCAUACAAAUCAUUUUUAGACAUUUUAAGCAUCUACAGAAAUGAGAGAAAUUUAAAGUCCCUCACCCAGGUCUACGAUGAGGUUUCCAUCUUAUUUCGGGAUCAUACGGAUUUGCUUGCGGAGUUUAAUCGCUUUCUGCCUGCAACUUCACCAACAACCUCUCUUCAUUCUGCUACAGACUCAAGUUCGUGACAGAGAGAUUUCUGAGUCUAUGAUGCAUCAAAUGAACUAUAACAGGACAAAAAGUGUCUACUUUUGGCAUAGAUCAUCCUCAUUUGCUUGAGGAGUCGAAUUUCUUUCUGCCAACUACUUCUCAGAGUUCAGUUUGUGACCAAAGGAUUGCUAUGUUACUUCAUUCGCUUCACAUAUACGUAGUUUUUUUCUUUCAAGUCAGAGAUACUAAUAGAGGUUUUUUUCUUCUUUAAAUGAUUAGUACAGCUUUUUUACCUUAUUAAUUAUAGUCUGUAUCAAAAUUCAAAUUUAUUAUCAUUUAGUUAUUUACAUGCUUACCUAUGAAUCGACUAUGUGUAUGAAGAAGGUUAGGGGGUUUAUUUUCUGCCUAUCAAUCCGGCGGCAACAUGAGGAUAAGUUUUAUCGGAAUUGUUCUACAAACAAAACGACAAAGUUUUCGGUCUACCGGAAAUAUCAUUACGCCGAUAAAAAAUAUUUAAAUUAAAUUUGAAAAGCGAUAAAUAUGUUCCGUGUUAUGGUUUUUAGAUAAGUUAGAGUUAAAUCCUUCUUCUAUUAGUAAUGCUAGCGAAACAGAUUUUAAGUUUUAAGCAAAAUCUAACCGUAUCAAUUUAGAUUCAAUUUACACCAAUUAUUUUAGUUAUAUUUUUUUUUGCCAUCCCUAAAAUUAAUAGUUAUGAUAAUCUUGCAUUAAGGAAUUAUUAAAAAUAAAAAAAUAUUUAAUAUGAUUAAUCAUUUUUAAGUUACAAAAU